rnacentral:rRNA from 1 species
AUUGAACGCUGGCGGCAGGCUUAACACAUGCAAGUCGAGCGGAGAUGAGGUGCUUGCACCUUAUCUUAGCGGCGGACGGGUGAGUAAUGCUUAGGAAUCUGCCUAUUAGUGGGGGACAACAUUCCGAAAGGAAUGCUAAUACCGCAUUCGUCCUACGGGAGAAAGCAGGGGAUCUUCGGACCUUGCGCUAAUAGAUGAGCCUAAGUCGGAUUAGCUAGUUGGUGGGGUAAAGGCCUACCAAGGCGACGAUCUGUAGCGGGUCUGAGAGGAUGAACAGCCACACUGGGACUGAGACACGGCCCAGACUCCUACGGGAGGCAGCAUUGGGGAAUAUUGGACAAUGGGGGGAACCCUGAUCCAGCCAUGCCGCGUGUGUGAAGAAGGCCUUAUGGUUGUAAAGCACUUUAAGCGAGGAGGAGGCUACUGAGACUAAUACUCUUGGAUAGUGGACGUUACUCGCAGAAUAAGCACCGGCUAACUCUGUGCCAGCAGCCGCCGUAACAC